rnacentral:rRNA from 1 species
GAUGAACGCUGGCGGCGUGCCUAAUACAUGCAAGUCGAGCGAACGGACGAGAAGCUUGCUUCUCUGAUGUUAGCGGCGGACGGGUGAGUAACACGUGGAUAACCUACCUAUAAGACUGGGAUAACUUCGGGAAACCGGAGCUAAUACCGGCUAAUAUUUUGAACCGCAUGGUUCAAAAGUGAAAGACGGUCUUGCUGUCACUUAUAGAUGGAUCCGCGCUGCAUUAGCUAGUUGGUAAGGUAACGGCUUACCAAGGCAACGAUGCAUAGCCGACCUGAGAGGAUGAUCGGCCACACUGGAACUGAGACACGGUCCAGACUCCUACGGGAGGCAGCAGUAGGGAAUCUUCCGCAAUGGGCGAAAGCCUGACGGAGCAACGCCGCGUGAGUGAUGAAGGUCUUCGGAUCGUAAAGCUCUGUUAUUAGGGAAGAACAUAUGUGUAAGUAACUGUGCACAUCUUGACGGUACCUAAUCAGAAAGCCACGGCUAACUACGUG